rnacentral:misc_RNA from 1 species
GAUGAAGAACGUAGCGAAAUGCGAUAAGUAAUGUGAAUUGCAGAAUUCAGUGAAUCAUCGAAUCUUUGAACGCACAUUGCGCCCGUCAGUAUUCUGGCGGGCAUGCCUGUUCGAGCGUCAUUACGCCCCUCAAGUCCCCUGUGGACUUGGUGUUGGGGAUCGGCGAGGCUGGUUUUCCAGCACAGCCGUCCCUUAAAUUAAUUGGCGGUCUCGCCGUGGCCCUCCUCUGCGCAGUAGUAAAACACUCGCAACAGGAGCCCGGCGCGGUCCACUGCCGUAAAACCCCCCAACUUUUUAUAGUUGACCUCGAAUCAGGUAGGACUACCCGCUGAACUUAUGCAUAUCAAUAAGCGGAGGA